CCCUACGGGGCGUCGAUGGAGGGCGAGGCCAAGGAGGCGUUUGCGGCCAUCCCCGGCUUGGCUGCCAAGGGUCGGUUGAAUCCCUUUGUUCUGGUGCUUUCGGAUAAUGACACCAAACUGUCCGGCCGCAUCAGCCAGGAUGCGUUUAGCAUGCAGCCGUCAUUUGCGGCUUUUGACAAAUUGGGCUGGAAGGUCAUCAAGGUGCCCAAGGGCCACCAACUGCGCUCGGUGUUGUUGGCUUUAGAGAAAGCCAUUGCCGAAGCGAAGGCCAAUCCGGCUCAACCGGUGUGUGUCUGGGUCAAAACCAUCAAGGGUUAUGGUGUCAAGUCCACGGAAGCCAGCGCGUCGGGAGGGC
rnacentral:rRNA from 1 species